rnacentral:rRNA from 1 species
GACGAACGCUGGCGGCGUGCUUAACACAUGCAAGUCGAGCGGUAAGGCCCUUUCGGGGGUACACGAGCGGCGAACGGGUGAGUAACACGUGGGUGACCUGCCCUCAGCUCUGGGAUAAGCCUGGGAAACUGGGUCUAAUACCGGAUAUGACUCCAUGACGCAUGUUGUGGGGUGGAAAGCCUUGUGCGGCUGAGGAUGGGCCCGCGGCCUAUCAGCUUGUUGGUGGGGUGAUGGCCUACCAAGGCGACGACGGGUAGCCGGCCUGAGAGGGCGACCGGCCACACUGGGACUGAGACACGGCCCAGACUCCUACGGGAGGCAGCAGUGGGGAAUCUUGCGCAAUGGGCGAAAGCCUGACGCAGCGACGCCGCGUGAGGGAUGACGGCCUCGGUUGUAACGUACUUCUA